rnacentral:rRNA from 1 species
UACGGAGGGUGCAAGCGUUAUCCGGAUUCACUGGGUUUAAAGGGUGUGUAGGCGGAUUUUUAAGUCAGUGGUGAAAUCUCCGGGCUCAACCCGGAAACUGCCAUUGAUACUAUUAGUCUUGAAUUCUGUUGAGGUGGGCGGAAUACAUCAUGUAGCGGUGAAAUGCUUAGAUAUGAUGUAGAACACCGAUUGCGAAGGCAGCUCACUAAGCAGACAUUGACGCUGAGGCACGAAAGCGUAGGUAGCGAAUGGG